rnacentral:rRNA from 1 species
AAGCGCUCAUGACCAGACUUGGGCCCGGUGAAUCAUCCAGCGUUCUCGCUGGUGCACUUUGCCGGGCUCAGGCCAGCAUCAGUUUGCUUCGGGGGAUAAAGGCUUCGGGAAUGUGGCUCUCUCCGGGGAGUGUUAUAGCCCGCUGCGUAAUACCCUGUGGCGGACUGAGGUUCGCGCAUUCGCAAGGAUGCUGGCGUAAUGGUCAUCAG